AUUGAACGCUGGCGGCAGGCCUAACACAUGCAAGUCGAGCGGAGCCCCGGACGCGUGAGUAAUGCCUAGGAAUCUGCCUGGUAGCGGGGGAUAACGUCCGGUAACGGGCGCUAAUACCGCUCCCUACCAGAUGAGCCUAGGCCGGAUUAGCUAGUUGGUGGGGGAAAGGCUUACCAAGGCGACGAUCCGUAACUGGUAUGAGAGGAUGAUCAGUCACACUGUAACUGAGACACGGUCCAGACUCCUACGGGAGGCAGCAGUGGGGAAGAUUGGACAAUGGGCGAAAGCCUGAUCCAGCCAUGCCGCGUGUGUGAAGAAGGUCUUCGGAUUGUAAAGCACUUUAAGUUGGGAGGCGGUACCAACAGAAUAAGCACCGGCUAACUUCGUGCCAGCAGCCGCGGUAAUAC
rnacentral:rRNA from 1 species